rnacentral:snRNA from 1 species
GGAUUUGAGGACGAUCUGGCUGCGGUCACCCCAUUGAUCACCAGGGUUGAUUCUUGGCUGUUCUGGCUGGCUAGGCCAGUGUCCCCUUCCUUCCUCACCAUUCCACAUGCAUCCCUCCCACAGCUGAGUGCUGGGUUGAAGUAGACGACCUUCCUGAUAGAGGAGGACCUGUUCUUCAGUCAAGGGUAUAUGAGUAGCUGUGCCCCCCCGCUAGAAUCUCUAAAGAAGCUCUCAAGUCCAUUGUAGAAGAACAUAGGGCAAUCUUCUGAGACUCCAGACACAUCCAAAGGAGGCGCUGCAUGUGGCCGUCUGCCUUUCUUU